rnacentral:rRNA from 1 species
AACGUAGGAGACAAACGUUAUCCGGAGUUACUGGGCGUAAAGGGCGUGUAGGCGGUUUGGUAAGUCUGGCGUGAAAGCUCUCGGCUAAACCGGGAGAGGUCGUUGGAUACUGGCAAACUAGAGGACGGUAGAGGCGUGUGGAAUUCCGGGUGUAGUGGUGAAAUGCGUAGAGAUCCGGAGGAACACCAGUGGCGAAGGCGACACGCUGGGCCGUACCUGACGCUAAAGCGCGACAGCAUGGGGAGCAAACGGG